UACGUAGGGUCCGAGCGUUGUCCGGAAUUAUUGGGCGUAAAGAGCUCGUAGGCGGUUUGUCGCGUCUGCUGUGAAAUCCCGAGGCUCAACCUCGGGUCUGCAGUGGGUACGGGCAGACUGGAGUGCGGUAGGGGAGAAUGGUAUUCCUGGUGUAGCGGUGGAAUGCGCAGAUAUCAGGAGGAACACCGAUGGCGAAGGCAGUUCUCUGGGACGUAACUGACGCUGAGGAGCGAAAGCGUGGGGAGCGAACAGG
rnacentral:rRNA from 1 species